ACAACAUCUGUGGUGAGAAAACGUUGAAGAGAUUUCUGCCGUGGCUAGUAAAUGAACUGCCCGGUUAAAUGAAUAUUUUCAUAUACAUAUAUCGCGUUCCUAACAAGACUGUAAUAUUGUAUGAUUUGUGUAUUAUAUAUACUGUUGAAUAGAUAUAUGUUAAAAAAUAUAAUUAUUUGUAGAAACAUGUCUCUGUUAGAAGCCUUAUUGGAGCAUCAGGGAUCGAAAAUCCCCUUUCCACCCAGAGAAGUGGUUUUCACGGAACUUUGGCUGAAUAUUGGGUGCUGAACCCUUUUGAAACUUCGAGAAACGGACAAUCGAUGUCCUUCGUUAAUUGGACGAGAAACGCGAGGAGCACAGCAGGCCGGGAGAUCUUGAAAUGUCUCCAAAACUGUUAUUCACAGUUCUUGCUAAUAUUAUGUAUAUUCAAAAAAACUUAACUGGAAUAAAAAGGGAAUACAAAUGUAUGAUGUCUACAUGAGUCAUUGAGCUUUUGCUGAUGUUGUCCUUUUAAUCGCCGAAGCAGCUAACGAUCUACAAGUAAUGAUAAAAUCUCUCUACCAAGAAAGUAUACAAGUCCGUCUCAACCUGAAUAUAAAAAAAAAAUACGACGGAGAGACGCACUACGAGACAUAGAAAAGCUCUCACAAGAACCCCAGUAAAUAUCUUACUUCUUAGUUUUAAGAAGUAAAAGCAAUACGUUAAUUAUUCUUUACUCUCUCGUAUAGGAUUUAAACACAAACAGACAAUACAUGCUACAGUUACACUUGUAUAAAUAUAGUAGGUACAUAAAAGUACCUGCAAGUGACAAAGUUAUUAACAGAAGAAGCUUUCUCACAAAUUAUUGCAGAGAAUUUAUGAAAAUUUUGUUAACAUAUAAAAGAAAAAUGAAGUUUAAUC